UGGGGAAUUUUGGACAAUGGGCGAAAGCCUGAUCCAGCAAUGCCGCGUGUGUGAAGAAGGCCUUCGGGUUGUAAAGCACUUUUGUCCGGAAAGAAAUCCUUGGCUCUAAUACAGUCGGGGGAUGACGGUACCGGAAGAAUAAGCACCGGCUAACUACGUGCCAGCAGCCGCGGUAAUACGUAGGGUGCGAGCGUUAAUCGGAAUUACUGGGCGUAAAGCGUGCGCAGGCGGUUUGCUAAGACCGAUGUGAAAUCCCCGGGCUCAACCUGGGAACUGCAUUGGUGACUGGCAGGCUAGAGUAUGGCAGAGGGGGGUAGAAUUCCACGUGUAGCAGUGAAAUGCGUAGAGAUGUGGAGGAAUACCGAUGGCGAAGGCAGCCCCCUGGGCCAAUACUGACGCUCAUGCACGAAAGCGUGGGGAGCAAACAGGAUUAGAUACCCCCGUAGUCC
rnacentral:rRNA from 1 species